UGGGGAAUUUUGGACAAUGGGCGCAAGCCUGAUCCAGCCAUGCCGCGUGUGUGAAGAAGGCCUUCGGGUUGUAAAGCACUUUCGGCCGGAACGAAAUCGCCUUCGUUAAUAGCGAGGGUGGAUGACGGUACCGGAAGAAGAAGCACCGGCUAACUACGUGCCAGCAGCCGCGGUAAUACGUAGGGUGCGAGCGUUAAUCGGAAUUACUGGGCGUAAAGGGUGCGCAGGCGGUCCCGCAAGUCAGGCGUGAAAUCCCCGGGCUUAACCUGGGAACUGCACUUGAAACUACAGGACUGGAGUAUGGCAGAGGGAGGUGGAAUUCCACGUGUAGCGGUGAAAUGCGUAGAGAUGUGGAGGAACACCGAUGGCGAAGGCAGCCUCCUGGGCCAAUACUGACGCUCAUGCACGAAAGCGUGGGGAGCAAACAGGAUUAGAUACCCCCGUAGUCC
rnacentral:rRNA from 1 species